GCAGACGUGGCCGAGUGGUUAAGGCGAUGGACUAGAAAUCCAUCGGGGUCUCCCCGCACAGGUUCGAAUCCUGUCGACUGCG
rnacentral:tRNA from 1 species